UACGGAGGGUGCAAGCGUUGUCCGGAUUUAUUGGGUUUAAAGGGUGCGUAGGCGGCUUUUUAAGUCAGUGGUGAAAUACAGCAGCUCAACUGUUGAGGUGCCAUUGAUACUGAGAGGCUUGAGUACAGAUGAGGUAGGCGGAAUUUAUGGUGUAGCGGUGAAAUGCAUAGAUACCAUAAAGAACACCGAUUGCGAAGGCAGCUUACUAAGCUGUAACUGACGCUGAGGCACGAAAGCGUGGGGAGCGAACAGG
rnacentral:rRNA from 1 species